UCCCCUUCUCUUUUCUGAACUUUGAGUUUCAGACCCAACUCUUGAGCAACAACAUCAACUUCAUUCUUCUUCUUCUUCUUCUUCUUCUUCUUUCUUUGAUACGAUGAGUUUCUUGAGACCAUCAGCAUUGUACCAGUUCCUGUUGACCACCCUUUCACUUAGAUGGAUGCCUUGCCAAAGCUGGGUUUUUCUUCUUCGUUGGCCCGGCCUUGAUGGCUUCUUUAAGAUACUUGUUGGCAUUCUUCUGUGGUCAACCUUUUCUGAGAUUCGCUUCAUACCUUCCUCUUCGAUGUUCCCAACUCUUCGUAUUGGUGAUCGAAUCUUGAUUGAAAAGGCAUCCUAUUACUUCAGAAGUCCUGCUGUAAAUGAUGUCAUAACAUUUCAAGCUCCAAUUCAGGCUCAUUUACAGCACCCUGGAUUAGGGGAAGAAGAUGUUUUCAUUAAAAGAGUUGUUGCAAAAGCAGGAGACUUCGUUCAGGUUCGUAAUGGUUUGCUCUUUAUCAAUGGGAUUGCUCAGAAUGAAGAUUUCAUAGCAGAGCAGCCAAGAUACACAUCAACCUUAACAUGUGUGCCAAAAGAUCAUGUUUAUGUGUUGGGGGACAACCGCAACAACAGCUACGACUCCCAUGUUUGGGGACCCCUGCCUGUAAAACAUAUCCUUGGAAGAUAUGUCACAUGCUGCUUCAGACCAUCAAACAGCUGACGUGGAAACAUUUCUCUGUAGCAGUUCACAUACAUGGUGUUGCCUCUUUGCUGUCUCUAACACAUUGUUUUAUGCAGGUUGAUUGAAUUUGGCUGCAGGGAAGGGAAAAUCGCUCAAAUUCGACCAAAAUGGAGGUAGAUCAGGUUGGGGGAUGGAUGGGUUUUGUCGGGAUGAGUGGCGGAAGCUAGUGGUGUUGGCAGUGAUGUCCAACGACACCCAAAUCCGGCUAGAUCUGAAUUUUUCCAGUGGCCACGAAGGAGGGAAAAAUCAUGGAGGAAAGGCUUAGAUCCUACCAAAAUAGAGGCGAACGAGGUUGGGGGAUGGAUGGGUUUUGUUUGCGAUGAAUGGGGGAAGCUAGUGGUGGUAGUAAUGAUGUCUAAUGAUGUUAGAAUCCGGCUAGAUCUAGAUUUUUCUUGCAGCCGUGAGGGAGAUCAAGUGUGCUUGUGAGAAAUUUGAGAUAUAGAG